rnacentral:rRNA from 1 species
UACAGAGGGUGCAAGCGUUGUUCGGAUUAUUGGCGUAAAGCGCGUGUAGGCGGCAUGGCAAGUCGGGUGUGAAAGCCCUCAGCUUAACUGAGGAAGUGCGCCCGAAACUGCCGUGCUUGAGUGCCGGAGAGGGUGGCGGAAUUCCCCCAAGUAGAGGUGAAAUUCGUAGAUAUGGGGAGGAACACCGGUGGCGAAGGCGGCCACCUGGACGGUAACUGACGCUGAGGAGCGAAAGCGUGGGGAGCGAACAGG